AGGCUAUCAAUUGCGUAAUCACUGAACAUUUAAAAAGGCAUGAUUGGAAAAUCAUCCAUUUAAAGUUUGUCAGCACCUAGUCUAAUUAGCAAGGUGUCCAUCAUAGUAUGAAAAGAGGGUGUAACCAUUACUCUGAAUUUCUAACAUGCACAAUAUGCUUUCUAUUGAUGACUGCCAUUCUAUGUGAAAGUCUUGUUAGAAAUGAAGGGAAGGAAAGAAAAAGACGUGGACAACAGAGGCUAGCAUGUUCAGUGUCUUCCGACACAAUAGUCCAGAGAUUGUGUCCUAACGAUACGGAAACCCGUAAUACACGUGCAAAAGAACUUGGUUGUGAAAAUAUCACUAACCAUUGUAAAGAUUCUAAAGAUUUUGUUUACCAUUGUGUUUUGAAUGAGUGGGGUAACGGCUCUUUAGA